AAGUCGGAACAAGGUUUCCGUAGGUGAACCUGCGGAAGGAUCAUUACUGUGAUUUUUUAACACCACACUGUGUGGGCGCACGAAACACAUAAACUAUAGUAUAACAGCAGUCAACAAAAGAUCUAAAAGAAUAAAACUUUCAACAACGGAUCUCUUGGUUCUCGCAUCGAUGAAGAGCGCAGCGAAAUGCGAUACCUAGUGUGAAUUGCAGCCAUCGUGAAUCAUCGAGUUCUUGAACGCACAUUGCGCCCGUCGGUAUUCCGGCGGGCAUGCCUGUCUGAGCGUCGUUUCCUUCUUGCGGUUUUUGCAAAAAUUAGUUAUAUUUUUUUUGUGGAGACGGCAGAGCUGGCCGUGCCACUGGCCCGGCCGAAAAGAAACGUUGCGGACGAAGCGAACUACAUACGGGACGCUUUGGCCGCCGAGCGAAAAACACCAUUGAGCUUCGACCUCAGAUCAGGUAGGAGUACCCGCUGAACUUAAG
rnacentral:rRNA from 1 species